rnacentral:rRNA from 1 species
CGGACGGGUGAGUAACACGUGGAUAACCUACCUAUAAGACUGGGAUAACUUCGGGAAACCGGAGCUAAUACCGGAUAAUAUAUUGAACCGCAUGGUUCAAUGUGAAAGACGGUUUUGCUGUCACUUAUAGAUGGAUCCGCGCCGCAUUAGCUAGUUGGUAAGGUAACGGCUUACCAAGGCAACGAUGCGUAGCCGACCUGAGAGGGUGAUCGGCCACACUGGAACUGAGACACGGUCCAGACUCCUACGGGAGGCAGCAGCG